CGUCUUUGUAGUCUGUGAUAUUUGAAGUCUGUGAUCAUUGUUAAGAUAGAGUAGGUCACGUGACUAGAAUCAGGAAGUAAACGCAUGUUUCAGCACAGUGUUGAAAGAGAACGCUGCUUGUUCUACUCUCUCCUGCAGUUCGGCAAAACUACUACCUACAUUUUGUGUUAUACAAGGCAUCGUUGUUUCACCCUUUCCCUUGUUAUUAAACCUGGAGUCAACCUUCAA